ACAUGCCUAUAUCAUAGUGUUAAUGCAUUGGAUCCCAUUAGAACUCCUUAAUUAAGCAUGCUCAGGAUAGAGCAGUACUGGGAUGGGUGAUCGCCCGAGAAGUCCUAGUGUUUUACAUGCA
rnacentral:rRNA from 1 species